GACAGAGGGUGCAAACGUUGUUCGGAAUUACUGGGCGUAAAGGGCUCGUAGGCGGCCAACUAAGUCGGACGUGAAAUCCCCAGGCUCAACCUGGGAACUGCGUCCGAUACUGGAUGGCUUGAAUUCGGGAGAGGGAUGCAGAAUUCCAGGUGUAGCGGUGAAAUGCGUAGAUAUCUGGAGGAAUACCGGUGGCGAAGGCGGCAUCCUGGACCGACAUUGACGCUGAGGAGCGAAAGCUAGGGGAGCAAACGGG
rnacentral:rRNA from 1 species